rnacentral:rRNA from 1 species
CCUACGGGAGGCAGCAGUGGGGAAUAUUGCACAAUGGGGGAAACCCUGAUGCAGCGACGCCGCGUGAGUGAAGAAGUAUUUCGGUAUGUAAAGCUCUAUCAGCAGGGAAGAAUUACUGACCUUACGGUCAGCAUACGGUACCUGUCUAAGAAGCCCCGGCUAAAUACGUGUCAGCAGCCGCGGGAAUAAGUAGGGGGCACGCGUUAAUCGGGUUUACUGGGGGUAAAGGGAGCUUAGACGGCAGCGCAAGUCUGACGUGAAAUCCCAUGGCUUCACCAUGGAACUGCUUUGGAAACUGUGCAGCUGGAGUGCAGGAGAGGUAAGCGGAAUUCCUGGUGUAGCGGUGAAAUGCGUAGAUAUUAGGAGGAACACCAGUGGCGAAGGCGGCUUACUGGACUGUAACUGACGUUGAGGCUCGAAAGCGUGGGGAGCAAACAGGAUUAGAUACCCCGGUAGUC